rnacentral:rRNA from 1 species
AUAUUGGGCAAUGGCCGAGAGGCUGACCCAGCCAUGCCGCGUGCAGGAAGAAGGCCUUCUGGGUUGUAAACUGCUUUUAUAUAGGAAGAAAACGCCUUUGCGAAGGUAACUGACGGUACUAUAUGAAUAAGCACCGGCUAACUCCGUGCCAGCAGCCGCGGUAAUACGGAGGGUGCAAGCGUUGUCCGGAUUUAUUGGGUUUAAAGGGUGCGUAGGCGGCCCGUUAAGUCAGCGGUGAAAUCCCACGGCUCAACCGUGGAACUGCCGUUGAUACUGGCGGGCUUGAGUUCGGUCGAGGCGGGCGGAACUGGUGGUGUAGCGGUGAAAUGCAUAGAUACCACCAAGAACCCCGAUUGCGUAGGCAGCUCGCUAGGCCGAAACUGACGCUGAGGCACGAAAGCGUGGGGAGCGAACAGG